GAUGAACGCUGGCGGCGUGCCUAAUACAUGCAAGUCGAGCGAACAGAUAAGGAGCUUGCUCCUUUGACGUUAGCGGCGGGCGGGUGAGUAACACGUGGGUAACCUACCUAUAAGACUGGGAUAACUUCGGGAAACCGGAGCUAAUACCGGAUAACAUUUGGAACCGCAUGGUUCUAAAGUGAAAGAUGGUUUUGCUAUCACUUAUAGAUGGACCCGCGCCGUAUUAGCUAGUUGGUAAGGUAACGGCUUACCAAGGCGACGAUACGUAGCCGACCUGAGAGGGUGAUCGGCCACACUGGAACUGAGACACGGUCCAGACUCCUACGGGAGGCAGCAGUAGGGAAUCUUCCGCAAUGGGCGAAAGCCUGACGGAGCAACGCCGCGUGAGUGAUGAAGGGUUUCGGCUCGUAAAACUCUGUUAUUAGGGAAGAACAAAUGUGUAAGUAACUGUGCACGUCUUGACGGUACCUAAUCAGAAAGCCACGGCUAACUACGUG
rnacentral:rRNA from 1 species